rnacentral:rRNA from 1 species
AGCAGCCGCGGUAAUUCCAGCUCCAAUAGCGUAUAUUAAAGUUGUUGCAGUUAAAAAGCUCGUAGUUGAAUUUCGGGGUUAGCAGGUCGGUCGUGCCAUCGGUAUGAACUGGUCUCGCUGAUCCCUCCCUCUUGACGAACUGUGAUGCCAUUAAUUUGGUGUCGCAGGGAAUCAGGACUGUUACUUUGAAAAAUUAGAGUGUUUAAAGCAGGCUCACGCUUGAAUACAUUAGCAUGGAAUAAUGAAAUAGGACGUUUGAUCCUAUUUUGUUGGCUUCUAGGAUUGACGUAAUGAUUAAUAGGGAUAGUUGGGGGCAUUAGUAUUCAAUUGUCAGAGGUGAAAUUCUUGGAUUUAUUGAAGACUAACUACUGCGAAAGCAUUUGCCAAGGAUGUUUUCAUUAAUCAAGAACGAAAGUUAGGGGAUCGAAGACGAUCAGAUACCGUCGUAGUCUUAACCAUAAACUAUGCCGACUAGGGAUCGGAUGAUGUUAAUUUUUAAUGACUUC